GAUGAACGCUAGCGGCAGGCCUAAUACAUGCAAGUCGAGGGGCAGCAGGAAUAGCAAUAUUCGCUGGCGACCGGCGCACGGGUGCGUAACACGUAUACAAUCUGCCUUUAACAGGGGGAUAGCCCGGAGAAAUCCGGAUUAAUACCCCAUAACAGUGAUCUUGGCAUCAAGGACACUUAAAAGCUCCGGCGGUUAAAGAUGAGUAUGCGUCUGAUUAGCUAGUUGGUGAGGUAACGGCUCACCAGGGCGACGAUCAGUAGGGGAUCUGAGAGGAUUAACCCCCACACGGAUACUGAGACACGGAUCCGACUCCUACGGGAGGCAGCAGUAAGGAAUAUUGGACAAUGCCCGCAAGGGUGAUCCGGCCAUGCCGCGUGCAGGAAGACGGCCCUAUGGGUUGUAAACUGCUUUUACACCGGAGAAAACCCCACUACGUGUAGUGGGCUGAUAGUAUGGUGAGAAUAAGCAUCGGCUAACUUCGUGCCAGCCGCCGCUGUAU
rnacentral:rRNA from 1 species